ACUGUGAUGUUCAUCACAGUUGUAUUGAUGUUGUGAACACACUAGUCUCUCAUGACUGUCAUGAUCAACCCAGAACAAAAAAUCUUGCAUAAUUUGGUCAGACACUCAAUUAAGUUCUAGUGGGAGACGCAAAUGAAAACUCACAGCCAAAUUUACAGGCAUUACGAUUGGGUCAUGUGCAGCUGCAAUUGAUUGAUUAUUACAAUUUAUGUUGUGAUGUUUUAGAUGAGACUGACUUUUUGACCCAAAUGAUCCUAUUUACACUUUGUAGUCGAUUUUGACAGUAAAAUAAUGUUUCUGACUCAUAUCUAUCUAUAUGCUGUUUCCGAAUGAGAAGUUGGUUUUUAGGUGCAGUUGUUCUUUAAAAAUGACUGGCAAAAGAGUCAUUUUCUCAUGCAUGCCAACUGGCUACGGCAAUGUUUGAUAUUUCAAGCGUGGCUAAGUUUGACAUUUAAUGUGUCUGCUGUGGGAGAAAUAGCAGCGUAUCCACAUCCCCAGUUUAAGAAACACCCUCGCACUAUCCUGAUACUUCCAAAUAACAUUUGACAAAAGGCCCAAGCACCGGAACAACUGCUGCUCGUUAUCCAAUGUUUCCAUAGUCACUUUACAGAUUCUACAGUACCAUUUAUGUUUACAUAGUUUGUCCAUGAGAGAGGCUUAGCAAUUAAGUAAAGGACUAGGCUUAAUCUGUUUCCGGGAAUCUGGCACAAAAUGUUAAAUAAAUUACUAUAUUAAAUCUGUCUGGUAUUUUGAGAAACAAUUUUUAUGAUGCACUGGAUAGCGUCACGGUUUAUUUAGACUAAUCGUGAUUUUGCAGAGGUGGUCCUUCCAUAGAAGUGUGUUAGGAAAUGUUGUCUGUGUGGAAACCUAUCCCUAUACUUUUCCUCAUUACCACCUUCUCAGUUUUGAGUGACACUAGCAUUUAUUUGCCACUUGCUAUAACAACUUAAAUGGUUUGAAUUAGCACACCCCUUCAUCUGUUGCUAACAUCUAUCACUAAAGUGGAAACAUUGUCACUGUCCAGUGACAUAUUACAAUCCAUAUCACUAUAGCCUAGAAUUCACUGUUGUAAUUCUGGAAGCUCAGAAUUGUAGGCUACAGCAAGAAAUCAACAGCAUUGGCCAAGGUCAAACAGUAUCCCCCUUAGCUUGAGAUUUUUAUUUUAUAAAAUAGAUUUUGACCAUAGCUGAAAUCCUUUGCAGAAGCACAACUGACACGGAAAAUACACUGAAUCCAUAUCGUAAAAGUUCAGUCAGGAAAGUUUUCUGGGUGAUACAGUUGCGCUAUAAUAUAUUGGCACCCUUGCAGGAAUCACUAUUUAUUUUAAAAUAAGUUGAAAUUGAAAAAACGUUUGGUGUUCACACAUGUAUUCCACUUCAAAGUCAAAUAAUGACCUGGACUAAAUUAUUUUAUUCAAAAUACUGUAAUUUGGUUGGAGGCAACUGAUUAUCGUUUACUGCGUCAAAAUACAGGGUCAAAAUAUCCAUUCACCCAAUUUUGAAAAGAAAAAACAGAACAUUCUGCUCCAUUGCACUCAUUGUAAAGUGUCAGGGUGCCAAUAAUUUUAACUGCAACUAUCCACCUGUCCUGAUGUCUCUCACUGGGUGCGUUCAUUCUGCAUUUUUUGGGCAUGACAACCAAAGUUAUAAUUGAAGACACGGCUGUUCUGUGCUUGUACAUACAUAUUUUAAUGGGCAAUUCACCUAGCUCUGCCACUGUAUAUAGUCAUUACUAUAUUAACAACAAUACAUUUUGUCAUAAACCUCCAAAAUCUCCUCACCACAAGCUACGAGCACACUUUAAUUUCAUCGGUAGAAUCUGUGUAUUCGCCUGCUCUGAGGCCUCUUUUAACAAUGGUAAAUCUUAGCGCUGUUGGUAGCGCUAUAGGUCCAGGGCUCUGUCAGAACUAUUUAUUUUUUCAUAUUAUGAGCGCAAUAGCUGGCGGUGAUGCAAAAAGGGCUAGGUUUUGAUGAAUAAAUUAGUUGUAGAUGUGAUGAGGGCUGGUUACUCACUGGUCAAUCAAAGUGUUUUAGGGCUUAAUAUUGCAUGUGGUUGUCUCAAGUUCUGUAGGUUAUUGACGGUCUUUGCGUUGACAUCUACUCCAAUUCGGCUGUGGCACAUAAUAUUCUCGUCUUAGUCCAUUGUGGAUUGAUACGACAGUUUAUUUAAUAGUAUAGGCUACAAUGACGAGUAAUAGCAAGAGUAAAUCCGACAGUUUAUUUAAUAGUAUAGGCUACAAUGAUGAGUAAUAGCAAGAGUAAAAAAAAGAAUCCAGUGUGUGCUCAAUAUGUGUUGGCAGUCAACGUUGUAAUUGGCUUCAAUGAGUAUGUCCUACAUGCCCUUCUCCUAAGAUAAAAAAAAUACUAGGCUCUGGUAAAUGUUAUUUUAUAUGUGAGGCACGUUCUUAGUAAGCAAGAUAUAGCCUAGGCCUACCAUUGAUACUGCAUUAUAGGACUGAAUAAUUUAAAUACAUUUGGAGGAGCGCAUCUUUGGUAACCACUCUUUGGAAAUGGGGAUGGAUACUUGAACAAGCUAAAUGAAGUAUGCAGGUAGGCAAAUGUGUAUAUAUUUUAGUAUGUGCAGUAUAUUUUGAAUUCAAGGCUCUCUCACGAAUGGAUGAUUUAAACACGUUUUAUGGAAUGGCAACAUGGCUGCAUGGCCAAGAUAUAAAAGACACACGACAACAUAUUGCUGUUAAACCAGGUAGGGUAAGUGUAGCCUACUGAGGGCUUUUAAUCAAGUGAAAUGGAAAACCAGCAACUGUUACAGUAAAAUAACUUUUAAAAAUAUGAUUUAACCUUUGUUUUGACAGGGAGUCAAUACUGAGACCAAUAUCUCUUUUCCAGAUAUGCCCUGUAUAAUAUCACAAUACACAUCAAAAUACAAUAAACACAUUAAACGACACAUUCAUAUACACAUUAAAAUACACAACACACAAAAAGCAAAACACAAUAAUAAAGAACAUUUUACAUUCUUUAGUAUAAAGGUCCCCUAACAACCAUCUGACAUGCCCUAGAGCAGGGAUCUCCAACCCUGUUCCUGGAGAGCUACCAUCCUGUAGGUUUUCAGUCCAACCCUAAUCUAGCACACAUGAUUCCCAUAAUUAGCUGGUUGAUAAACUGAAUCAGGUUAGUUGGAGAGCCCUCCCUAGAGGCACCAAUUACUCAAAUGUUUAAGUGUAUUGUAGGUGUAGGUGCAAAAAAACUAAAAGCAGAUUUCCCCAAGUCAGUGGACCUCCAGAGUUAGCAAUCCCUUAGCCCGGGUCCAGUAGGCCGUACAUCUAUAGGUUAACAGUGAGGUAAGGUAUGGCGGAAGUUUAUGCAAGGGGGCUUUAUAGACAAAAAGAGCGCAAUACAGUGAUCUACGAGACUUCAACAAGGGCCAGUCUACAUUCUGAUACAAAAUGCAUAAUGAUAAACUGCAUCCAAUGGCUUCAAUGCAGUGGCAGCUGCAUUUGUGACCGGUGUAGAUUGCCUCCUCAUUGUGUUUUGAUCAGCUUACAUCUGACCAAAAGGAUCAGGGUUGGUGCUGAUAUUUUCUUCUCUGAUAAUGACAGGAAAAACAUCCAUAAACAAAUGCUGUGGUGCCCUUAUAUGCCAACUCCUCUGCAAAGUACAAAUUCACAUCGAAAGUGGACAUGAUUAGCCAUGCUACCCCAAUGACGAUGUAGCGUACAGUAUAAAAUACAGUAGCUAUCUAACAUGUACAAUAGGCACACAUUACAAGACAAAACAUUAAUAAAUUACUGAAAUGCAUACAUAUCACAAUAUAAUGAAGGGAUACCAUUAUAGUACAUUGUCAGUAACCAUAUAAACUCAACUGUUUUAACAUACAUGUUUUAACAUGUUUUAACUGUUUUAACAUGAUUGAUUUCAUGGGACAAUUUUACAGUAAGCUACCUCUUCCACAUCACUACUGUAGACGGUAAGAGGUAAGGGGGCAGGGGAUGUUUAUGAGGGGGAAUACAGGGGGAGAAGGAAGUGUGCACCUUUGAAAAGGGCACUCACAACAAUAAAAAGGAAUGUACAGUAAUAUCAAUCAUGGAACUAUUCCGAUUUUUUGUAAUUAUACAACAUGAAAUUCAACACGUUACACUCACCAUCCAAGAAUAACAGCAACAUCUGGAGAGUAUUUAUAGAAAAAUAUAAUAUUCAUCAUGACUUCAUAGAUACCAGCCCUACAGUGGUUAUUCCUGUAAAAGUUGCAUCAUACUGCAGCACACCAUGCAGUCCGCUGCAAAAUUCUAUGGCACAUUAUUGCUAGUUAGUGCUAGUUUGACCACCAAAGGGCAUCUUUGAGAAGCAUUUGAUAUCUUCAAUAUUGGCUGUACUAGAGAAUUUGAAAACGUUUUUGUAAGAACACAGUAUAUGGGAUUGGCUUUAAGAAACGUAGCUUAAUUCAUUUGAUUAAUAAAAUGGUGUUUCCAUUCCAAGAAAAAUGUAAAAAACAAAACCCUCAGGGUUUCCGUUAGGAAGAUAUGGCGCUGUACAAUGUGACGGUAGGGAGUAGGCUACAGUACUAAGAGCAUAAGAUUUCCAUAACCUAAUUUUAGUCUAACCAAUACCCAAACAGAGAUUCAGUGAAAUUAAAAAUCUCAUUGAUUUAUCAAGAGCAGUCCCAUUGCUUGUCUCAGAGCAGCGCUGUCUUGACCUCUGAAUGCUGUCUUUUCUCCUUCCACUUGCCUCUUCUAUUAAUUUUGAAAGAGUAUUUUCCAGUAAGCAUAAUCAAUGCUCUAACUCCCCCUUGGAGCAGUGACGCAGGGCGCCGCACUAAACCUCAAAUUACCUCUAAAUCCCGCAGCAUAAUCUCAAAACGUUUAGUUGAGCAACCAAUGUAAGUGUUACCAACCCACACACUGGGUAGCUUAGUCUCGCAUUGCCAUACCUCCAAAAUCACGUCUUUGUCACAUCUCCCUGGAAGUCUUUAGAAUUUUGUGUUACAAAAACAGUUUGAUUGGAUGUUACAUUUCAAGAACCCUCCCUCCACACCCCCUUAGAAGGGGUGCUGUGUGUUAUGUGUGUCACUGUUUUCCGUCUGGCUAGUUGUUGCCUUUGCUAGUUUCAAGGGCUAGUUUUCAAGUUAUCAAGUGUGGCCGACAGUCUGUGAUUUGUAUUUAUUGAAAUUAAAAGUGGAUUACUCUGGUAAAGUCAAAUGUCACAACACAUUUUUUCUUCCAUGUCUCCAUUCAUCCACAUGGCUGCAAUUGCUGCAAUUCGGUACCACCUAAAGUAUUAAGAAGAUUGGUGAUUAUUUUGUUUUUGUAUGGACCCAAAACACAGAUGCAGUGGGAGAACCUAUUCAAAUAUGGAAAGCUGUGAAAGCCUGUUUGCAGAUGAAGAGAGAGGUCCCAAUGAAUGUCCCAAGAGACUAUGGGUAUAUCCUAUAUGCAUAGGUUAUACACUACCGUUCAAAAGUUUGGGGUCACCUGCCUUGUUCAUAAUGUUGUUAAGGAGGCAGAGCCACACUUUAUUAUAGACAGACUUCUCCCCAUCUUAGCUACUGUUGCAUUAACAUGUUUUCACCAUGACAGUUUAUAAUCGAGGGAUACUCCAAGCAGUUUAGUCACCUUAACUUGCUCAUUAUCCACAAUAUUCAUUACAAGAUUAAGUUGAGGAUUAGAGUUUAGUAAAGGAUUUGUCCCAAAUACAAUGCUUUUAGUGUUUAAAAAAUGUAUGACUAACUUACACUACCGUUCAAAAGUUUGGGGCCACUUGUUUUUGAAAGAAAAGCAAAUGUUUUGUCCAUUAAAAUAACAUCGAAUUGAUCAUAAAUACAGUGUAGACAUUGUUAAUGUUGUAAAUGAAUAUUGUAGCUGGAAACGGCAGAUUCUUUUAAUGGAAUAUCUACAGUUGCGUACAGAGACCCAUUAUCAGCAACCAUCACUCCUGUGUUCCAAUGGCACGUUGUUUUAGCUAAUCCAAGUUGAUCAUUUUAAAAGGCUAAUUGAUCAUUAGAAAACUUUAGAAAUUAUGUUAGCACAGCUGAAAACAGUCAGGCUGAUUAAAGAAGCAAUAAAACUGGCCUUCUUUAGACUAUUUGAGUAUCUGGAGCAUCAGCAUUUGUGGGUUCGAUUACAGGCUCAAAAUGGCCAGAAACAAAGCACUUUCUUCUGAAACUCAUCAGUCUAUUCUUGUUCUGAGAAAUGAAGGCCAUCCCAUGCGAGAAAUUGCAGAGAAACUGAAGAUCUCGUACAACGCUGUGUACUACUCCCUUCACAGAACAGCUCAAACGGGCUCUAAAAGGAAUAUAAAGAGAAGUGGGUGGUCACCAUGCACAACUGAGCAAGAGGACAACUACAUUAGAGUGUCUAGUUUGGGAAAGAGACGCCUCACAUGUCUUCAACUGGCAGCUUCAUUAAAUAGUACCUGCAAAACAGUUUCAACAUCAACAUUGAAGAGGCGACUCUGGGAUGCUGAUGUGUUUAAAUAUGUUGUAAUUGUUAACCUAUUAUUCAAAAUAGUGUCAACACUGAUUAAUCACAUAUCACAAUCCUGCAAUAAAGAGGGGAAGGGGUUCUGUCUCUAAUAUGUCUGUGUUUCUGUAUUGUAUUCUCAAAUAAACAUUUCCUUUUUG